AUUAGAUGCUGCUAAUUGGAGUAAAUAUUAAAAGCUGCUGCGAAGCAAAAUGCAAGGGAGCGCAAACAUUGGACGCAAUGGAAUUGUAUGGAUUGCAAACUAACUGGCAAAGUACAUCCACUGCAGCAAGGAGGAUUAGCCAAGUGGGCUCCGCGGCCAAUAGGGUAUGUAUUUAAGUUAG